rnacentral:rRNA from 1 species
AAAGGAAUUGACGGGGGCCCGCACAAGCGGUGGAGCAUGUGGAUUAAUUCGAUGCAACGCGAAGAACCUUACCAGGACUUGACAUGGAGACGAUCGGUAUAGAGAUAUACCUUCCCUUCGGGGCGGCUCACACAGAUGGUGCAUGGUUGUCGUCAGCUCGUGUCGUGAGAUGUUGGGUUAAGUCCCGCAACGAGCGCAACCCUUAUCUUUAGUUUCCAGCACGUAAUGGUGGGCACGCUAGAGAGACUGCCGUGGACAACACGGAGGAAGGUGGGGAUGAUGUCAAAUCAUCAUGCCUCUUACGUCCUGGGCUUCACACGUGCUACAAUGGUCUUUACAAAGUGAAGCAAGACAGUAAUGUGGAGCGAACCACAAAAAAAGACCCCAGUUCGGAUUGUAGGCUGCAACUCGCCUGCAUGAAGUUGGAAUCGCUAGUAAUCGCGAAUCAGCAUGUCGCGGUGAAUACGUUCCCGGGCCUUGUACACACCGCCCGU